rnacentral:misc_RNA from 1 species
GAUGAAGAACGUAGCGAAAUGCGAUAAGUAAUGUGAAUUGCAGAAUUCAGUGAAUCAUCGAAUCUUUGAACGCACCUUGCGCCCUUUGGCUAUUCCGAAGGGCAUGCCUGUUUGAGUAUCAUGAACACCUCAACUCUCAUGGUUCGCCCUGAUGAGCUUGGACUCUGGGGGUCUUGCUGGCCUAUGGUCAGCUCCUCUCAAAUAAAUCAGCUUGCCAGUGUUUGGUGGCAUCACAGGUGUGAUAACUAUCUACGCUUGUGGUUUUCCAUCAGGUAACCUUCAGUGAUGGAGGUUCGCUGGAGCUCAUAAAUGUCCCUCCUCAGCGAGGACAGCUUUUUGAACGUUUGAUCUCAAAUCAGGUAGGACUACCCGCUGAACUUAAGCAUAUCAAUAAGCGGAGGA